GGAUGUCUGAGGAGCCUCCUGAAGCUGCUGUUUUGGUGUCAACCGCCUCCCAAACUCAUAGAUCUUUGCUUGAGUAUGUUCCAAAGGUUGUGAAUAAAGUUGCGUUUUUUAUUUUGGAAAAAAAAAGAUGCAAUCAAAGAGAGGUUUGUUUAAUCAGCAAGGUGGUUCGUAUUGUAGCCUGUGCAGCACCUGAAGGCCACGUGGUGACAAUGUUGAUGACAUGACCGUUGUGAGGGCAGGCUUGCCUGGGCUUCCUGAUCCCUUGAGGCGCUUUCACAUCAAUAUGCUUCUCCCUCCCGCGUACACGCAGACCUUCUUACGUCCAGCAUGUGCUGCUCAGUCAGUACCACGAUCUCUAAGGGAGGAGAUGACAGAGACGCCAUCGUGCUGCCCUUUGUGUAUGCUUUGUUGUCCAUGUGGCGGUUAUUUGCCGGACAGCGAGAGGUGACAAUGAGAAAGUGCAAACUGUUAGUGUUGAGAUUUCACAUGCCCAUAAGGUAAUCGUAUGCUUGUUUAGUGGCUGUUGUUGUUUGUGUGUCAUGUGUUGGAUAAUGUCCAACGUAGUCGACAUUAUCUCUCCCCUCUCUCUGUUGUUCCAUCUUUUGGCAGAUGCCCUCUUUUCACAGGACGUGUUCCUCUUUCCCCAGUUGUAACAGACAGGAGCUACGAAUACAAUUGUGUUGUUCGGGGACAAAAUCAUAACACACAGUCGUGUUUGUUUCCAUCCCUCAAAAACACAUAAAAGUGGAGAGUAGCUAGCUACCAAAUACAAAACAAAAAUGGAUUCUUUCGAAUUUGUUCCAAAACACAAACAUAUUUAGAAAAUAUAUGUAGAUAGUCAUUAAAGAGACUACAUAAAUAUGUAGGACUCUUUUUAUUUUUUUGAUACAAAACCAUUUUUUAAAAAUCCACUAUUAAUAUUAAAAAUAUGAAUUAAAAAACGUGUGUGUGUGUGUCCGCGCGCUCUAUCACAUCAACGUACAUUGUUUUAUAUCGUUGUAGUAUGUCUAGUAAUUGGUAAUUCCAAAAAUAGGUCACACCUCAUCUUACACUAGAAUGGGGGUCGGCAACAUGCGGCUCUCUAGCGCCCCCCGCCCCCCCCCCCCCCCAGUGGCUCCCUAGAGCUUUUUUAAAAAUGUUUGAAAAUGGAAAAAGAGGAUAGACAUUGCGCCUCAAUGGCAAAGGUCCAGAGGGGUGGAUGAAAUCCCCCCCAGAGUUCCGAGGAUCUCUGGACAUUGUCAGACAGUCCUGGUUGACACAACCCCCACGGGAAUUGGCAGACAGGGUUGGUGGUGCCCCAUUUUAAGGGACCGGAGUGUGUGUUCCAACAACAGAGGGAUCGCAUUCUUCAGUCCCUGAUAAUGUCUUUGCAGGAGUGCUGGAGAAAAGGGUUCAUCAGGAGGUUGAAUCUCGUAUUCAGGAGAAGCAAUGUAGUUUUCGACCCGGCUGUGGAACUGUAGAGAUGUCUACACCUUUGGCAGGGUCCUCGAGGAUGCAUGGAAGUUGGCCCAACCCAUCUGUACUACGACCUUGAAGGAACCCUGAUGAACUCUGCCGUGCAUUUUUUUUUACCUUCGCCAACAGUCGCAGAUGUUCACCCCCUCAGUGGAAUAGCAGCUAAAAUCAGGGCCUUAUGAACAUGACUUGAAAAUAACAGCCCUCAACAACAUGCAUCAUGUGCAGCUCUAAUAAUUGUGUGUGACUAACCUUUUAAGUCAUCAAUUUCUUUUUGACUUUUUAUAAAUUAGAUUCUACAUUAGAUGUCUUGGGAUUGUUUUUUUUGGGGGGUGGGGGUUGUUUGUUUUGUUUUAUACCCAUGCUGAAAGACGUGGAAAGACACGGCAUGGUGGUUGCUUCAUAAAGCUUGCAUGUGUUCUCCGGCAUGUUGGGCUUGCAUUUUUCAUUUGAUAUUAGUGUUAAGGAGGCAGUGCUCCAGUUCUAAAGCCACACUGAAGUAACAGUCUGUGUUGUCAUGUCUUGUCAGGCUUGCCUUAUUUUCAUGAUGUUCAUCCCUUGGAACAAGCCAAUAAGAAGAACAACAUUACAGAAAAUCGCCAAGUUAUAAAACUAAACCUAUUUUUGACGAUGACUCUUGGCUGGAUUUGGUGGCAUUUCAAAAGUCUUGCAUUCAUGCAAACAGUCUGGACCAUAUUGAGCAGGAGUUGCUCGCAAUUUUCACUGGGGUGGCCAUUGUGCUGCAACACCUCAGUGAGGAGUGGCCGUGCAUGCGUGCGUUCGUCAAUCUUUAUCAUACCAUGCACAGUCAGGGUUUCAUGACAUAAAAUGUACGCCAAUGCAGAACAAUGCCAGUAAAAUCAAACAGGAAGAGGUCUCAAUACAAAGCAAGAUUUUUCUGAACUUAAUAUACCCGUUAAUCAGAAUCAGAUUUAUUGACUACAUAUGCAAGAAACACACAAGGAAUUUGUUUCCCAGUUACAACCCGUUCAGAAGAACAUACUGUAGACAAGACACAGAAAUGACCCACAUGGGGGAGAGAGAACGAGAAGCCUGGCAGGUCGCUGUUAAACGCCCCGAUAUCUUAGAUGUGAAAGGAAAACAGUCGGGAAGAGGAGGGGAAAAAAAACGAGUUUAUUUCUACCUCAUGCGCUGAUUUGUUAGCUCACAGCCAAUCAGAAUGACUGAUUGUCAUUGACACUGACCCAAUUUUGCAUACUUCAAUCAAUGGCUCAUUCAUUCAAAUCAUAUAUAAAACUCGAGUUAAAAAGUUGACAAAAGCUUCUCUUAAUUCUUCACAAUUUAAAACUUUGCUUUUUACUUUUUUCUGCAUGUGUUUCGAGUGUGUUGGGCAAGAUUGGUCUGUGUGUACCUGUACAUGUGAUUUCGUGACACCCUGGCCCCAGAAAAUAUGAUAAACAAUGAAUUCUCAGCCAUGUUGCUUGCUGUGGUGUGAAAGAUAUUAUUUUGAUUGAUGCUGACUGUAAAGAAAUAAAUAAAUUUUGAAAUCAAUUGCAAUUGACUGGCAACCAGAUCUGAGUGUCCUCCACCUACUGCCCAAAGACAGCUGGGAUAGGCUCCAGCACACCUGUGAGUCUCAUGAGGAUAAGCAGAUUGUAAAAUGGAUGGAUGGAUGUAAAAAUGGAUUGUUCUUUACUUGAUCUAGAGUCUUUCAACACUUGCAUUUUGAUCAUUUUUUUUCUUCAAAUAUAAAUUAAAUAUAAAUAACUUCCAAGAAAUUAGGAUUCCAAGAAUGCUCCAUCCAUGUGAAAAUGGCCUUGGCCGCCCUUGGCCGCCCCUGGCUACCACGUCGCUCAGCCCCUGACAUUGAGAGCACAGCAACCUUGUUGUGUGCAAAUAAAGCCAGGAAUUACUGUAUCACUCAAAUGCAUCAACGUGGCUUAAGACUCAUUUAUGAUUUUGUUCUGAAAGUGUUCUUGUUCCCUGGAACACACAGUCAAUGUUUAUGACCACUCAUAAAUCAAUUUGGGUUUUUUCCUCCUCAGAAUUUCCCUCCUGCAAACAUACUAAAAUCUUCUCAGUCACUGCAGCUUUUUUCAGAUGUAUUCCAAGCAAUUGAUGUUUCACGAGGUAUCAUGCAAAGGUUUAAAAAUGUGGUUUCACCUUAAUUGGUUGUGGAAUUGAAUUAUAAUUUACAGUUGCUUUGUGGCCAUACGGUUCAACUGUCUUUCUGAUGAGUCUAUUAGGGGGAAUAGUGUUGCUCGGGCAUAAUACAGUACACAAAGAGCUGUCAAGUGUUGCAGCUAUGCAUCAACUGAGCUCAGUAAGCAAUCCAAGGAAUUAGACAUGAACAGCUGAACUUGGAAAACAAACAGGCUAUGGUUUGUUAUGUCACUUCAGUCAUGUCACAGUCUCUCUAUGUCAGAUGCUGCAAAAGCUCCGGCUGUCUAUGUGCAAUGCACAACCACACAACGUUGAACCUUUUGCCGUACAGUUAUCCCUCGCUAUUUAGCGGUUCAUUUAUCGCGGAUUCGGUGCAUCGCAGAUUUUUUCAAACAUAUUCAUAAAAAGAAAAAAAAUGCAUAUACACGGAGUACAGUACUGUAUAUGAUGCUCUAUGUGACCCGCUUUUGGUUUGCAGCUUUUCACGGACUGUUUGCGGACUUUAAAAAAAUAAAUAAAUAAAAGUUACCUGUAUAUGUUAAUUGGUCGCGACUUUGUGGAUUUCUGUUAAUCGCGGGUGGUUUUGGUCCCCAUUGUCCGCGAUAAACGAGGGAUUACUAUAAUUAAGAAAGAAAUGUUGGGUGCAAACACAACACUGUUCAUCACUAAGAGAACACCAUACCUCCAGUGAAGCUUUGUUGUGGCAACAUCAUGCUUCAGAUCUGUAUUUCUGCAUCUUGAACAGGAGCCUAAACGGUGCUUUAAGUGGAAAAAACAAGGGAUAAAUUAGGUGGUGUGUAACAGCAGAUUAUCAUUAUAAUGAAUUCAGAAAUAUAUAUCCAUCAUUUAAUCCCUCGAUUAUCCGAGCCGUUUAACAUCAUAUGGGCAGCGGGCAUGAUGGCGCCUGUCCCAGCAGUCUUCGAACAGAAGGCGAGGUACGCCCGGAACUGGUUGCCAGUCACAGGGUAAAUGAAUAAUAAAUAAAUAAGUGUAGAAAUAAUGGCGGAAACUUGUGCGGUAUCAUACAAUUACGGGGUAAUUAACUUGCAGCUUAGCGUGCUAAGCGUUUUGUUUUUCCUCAACGCAUUUAUAAUGGGCGUCAAUGCCACGAAUAGCAGUGCACCACGGAAUAUGGCUCCUUAAAACAAAAAAGUGGAAAGACAUCACAAGUACAAGUUAGACAACAGUUGCUUGCUAAUUAUAUGCUGAUGUAAUAGAGUGAGAAAGCCUGGAGGUUUGUGGUUGUCAAUAUUCAACAACAUGAGCACACCAGAAUUCUUCAUCUCAUUCGAGCCCUCCACUUUGGGGAAUAGCCUAAAAUAACAGCUCCACCCCCGCCUCGGCAGACGGCUUCAUUAGAGCUUGCUGAGCCUGUGAAGCAUCUCCCACUAUGGGACCACCCAGUCCUACCAGUCAAACUCCCAGACAACUUCACUUUCAUCUCGCGCCACUGAGGUGAAUGCAAAGCGGAUAGAUGAGCCUUCAUGUUUCACGUGAGGGAUUUGUUUUGUGGUUCUCUGUCUUGUCUGCUAAAUGGCUUCAGUUUAACGUUGGCUUUUCAGGUUAAAAAAAAAAGCCAAGAAGGGAAAAACCUGCUCUAUGUAGAAGCAUCUCAUGAUCAGGUGUUUGUGUACAUUGGUGAGGUUAAAACUUGGCUUGUGUGUCAAACAUGAUUUUUUUUGCUAAUCCCACAUAGAAUGCAUUGAUGGUUGGGAGAUUUUUCGAAUUUGGUUCAAUGCAUAGGAGACAGAAUUAAGUCAAACCUUCCUACCACUUGUGAGGAUGAGAUGUCAUUGUCGUACAUUAUGUUUAUAUGCACGUCCAAACACGAAACAUGAACACAAGAUUCAAUCUGUCACCUGGCCUGCCAUCCAAUUUCAUUCGGAUGAUUUUUGUCGUAGACUUGCGAGCAAAAAAUUAUGAGCGCUGUAUGGUGGCAGUGGAUUCAACCCACUUCGCCGAAGGCGCGGUUUGGCAGAUAGGAAACAACUCUUCAGAAAAGAUGCUUCACGCCCUUUAAAUCCACUCCCAGUUGAAUUCCAAAUUAUGUUGUGUCAUUAAAACAACAGAGUAGCAUUUAGCUUAAUGCGAACAAACAACGCUAACCGCACUAGUAUCACGGUGUCAGAACUAUUUCAGCAGUGGAUAUUUGAAUCGCCACAAAUGGAGGAGCAUCACAUAUGCACGGAUAAUAUAACAAUACUCACAGGCUUCUUCAUCCUCUGUGAAGAACUACUAAAAUGAUUGCAGCUUUUGCAUUUCUGUAUGGCUGUAUAAUAGUGCCUCUAAGUCAGGGGUGUCCAAACUUUUUGCCAAGGGGGCCAGAUUUUAUGUGGUAAAAUGUCGGGGGGCCGACCUUGGCUGACAUUCUUUACAUUGAACAACAAUAUUGUUCAACAAAUUUUAGUAAGCCAGUCUGUUUCACAUUUCCAUUUUUAUUUGAAUUUCAACAAUCUUAAGAAUUUCUUUUGGUUCAUUUGAAACAGGUAUAUCACAUGCAACUGCUUAUUCACUUGACUUUUUCUUAAACAGAAGUCUCCUGAGUGCAAAUUGAUUGAUUUGAAAGAUAAAAUGCAUCACCAUGACUUUUCAAUAGUCACAAAACCUUUGACUCGAACAACAGGUAAAUGAACAAGCAAUACACAUAUCCAUAACUGCAAGGAUCAUUUGAAAUAUGACAUAUCAGUCAGUAUGUGUGGGACGAAUAAAGGAUAUCUUAUCUUAUCUUAUCUUAUCUUAUCUUAUAAACACGGAGUGAUGUCUUGUUAACUCGUGAGUGAUGCCCUCUAGUGUCUAAAUGCUAUUACUCAUUUAGUGAAUGCUAUUACUCAUUUAGCCACUAGAGGGAAGCAAUACUCUAUGAAACAUCACUCACCAGUCUACGAGACCUCAGUCAAUGCAACACGUGUUCCAUUGCGCCCAACCUGCGGGCCAGACGGCACUGAUUUUAUGACAGGGGCCGAGGGCCGGAUGAAAUUCGACCGCGGGCCGGACUUUGGACAUGCCUGCUCUAAGUGGCCAAGGCUCACACACAAGAAGGAUGCAGCACAAUGUCCAUUGAAACUAAGUUUUAAAAAAAAGGAAAAAAAUGGCAGAAAUUGUUAAAUUCUUACUCUUAUUUAAUUAUAUAAUUACUGCAUGUAUUUAUUAACUGCUAGAUUAAAGAGUACAAUUUUCUUUUCAAAAACAUUCAUUCUUGUUUUGGGGGUUAGGCUGAAACAAAUUAAUGACAUUUACAUCCAUUUCAUUGGGGGCAGAUGACUCGAGAUGAGAGUUUUGAGUCACAAGUGUGGUCAAAAAACAACAAAAUAUCAAGGCACUACUGUACUAACUUAAUUUCAACUUUUAUAAUGAACGUGUCUUGGGCUUUCUUAGGUCAGGUUGAAAAACCUUCAUACAGUAUGAAAUUCAUAUCAUGAAAAGAAUCUAAAACCUGCUUGUGUAAUCGCAAAUUUGUGGCUCACCUAUUAGAAAUGGCCCCACUGUAAAACAAAAUUAGGACGCCAUCAUUAUUUUAUUGUCUGAUUGAGCAGGCUGCCAUUUCCUGUGAUGCGUGAGCCAAGCAUUUUUCCCCAACACUCAUUCAUUUCCUGUGUGCUGUCUCUGAUACGCUAGCUUUUAGUAGCAAUAUAAGGUUAUUGAACAUUCGCUGCAAAUCCCCUUUUGCCUUCUACACCCCUCGCCCCCCC